rnacentral:rRNA from 1 species
AGUGAACGUUGGCGGCGUGGAUUAGGCAUGCAAGUCGAGCGAUCGUAGCAAUACGGGAGCGGCAAACGGGGUAGGAAUACAUCGGAACGUACCUUUUGGUUGAGAAUAGCGUUGGGAAACUGACGGUAAUACUCAAUAAAGUCGAGAGACCAAAGGUUUACUGCCGGAAGAGCGGCCGAUGCGAUAUUAGGUAGUUGGUGGGGUAAUGGCCUACCAAGCCUGAGAUGUCUAGGGGGUGUGAGAGCAUGGCCCCCACCACUGGGACUGAGAUACUGCCCAGACACCUACGGGUGGCUGCAGUCGAGGAUCUUCGUCAAUGGGCGAAAGCCUGAACGAGCGACGCCGCGUGCGGGAUGAAGGCCCUUGGGUGUAAACCGCUGUCAGGGGGGAUGAAACCGUAAGGUUGACAGAGCCCCAGAGGAAGCACGGGCUAAGUUCGUGCCAGCAGCCGCGGU